rnacentral:lncRNA from 1 species
GGUUCCUGGACAGAGCGUUAUACUGGCAUUUUCUCACAGACACCUUUACUGCCUAUUACCGCCUGCUCAUCACCCACCUGGGCCUGCCCCAGUGGCAAUAUGCCUUCACCAGCUAUGGCAUUAGCCCACAGGCCAAGCCCAAAGGAUCUGAAGGCCGUUCCAAGCGAGGGUGCUUCUGAGGACACUGAGAAGAGUUUUGCCAUUCUGAAGAGGCGAGCCUGUGGAACUGUUUAAGGUCCUGUUCCCAGAAGAAUAAAAGUUUCUCAUUAUGGCAUUAAACUCUAUUUAUUUAGUAUUUG